CUCAACCAUUUCUCUAAAAAAAAAACCUACUUACUGCUCCUUCUUAUGUCUUCUAUAAGUUCUUUUCUCUUCCCCUCUUUUUCUCAUAUACUUUUUUCUUCUAACAUUCUUCUCCUUCAUUCUUCUCUUUUCCCCUACUGUCGCAGUUUCUCUGUUCUGUUGUUCUCUAUUUUGUUCUUCUCCACAGCUGUUGUUGUUUCUCACUUUGUUUCAUUUUUUUACAGUGAUUCCAUUCUCUAAUUCAAUUUUUUAUUUGAUUAAUUUUGAUUUCUUGUUUUGGGGUUUUUGGCAUGGAUCGAUUUAAUCUUUGUUUUUAUUUUUACUUUUUUAAUUCUUAAGUUGGUUUGGAUUCAGGGUCAAUUUGAUUUGGGUUUAGGAUUGUGGAUGUUAUUGUAGUACUCUGUUUUGCUCAAUAUCUGAAUAAAAGAAUAAAAAAAUUGUAUUAAUAAAUAUAAUUAACGAAAAUAAUUCUCAAAACUCUUUCGAUGUUUACGAUGAUGUGCUGUAUCUAUACAAAAAUGUACUAUUAGGCUACCCUGAUUCAGAACCAUAGGAUUUGUUUGGUUUAUGAUUGGUAGGUUGGAGUGUAGCAAGGAGAAGGUACCAUUUCAUAAUUCCGAUCAACAACGGUGGCAUAAACCCUUAAGUGAAGGUGCUCUUAAUAAUCAGAGUCUUGCAUGCGGUUAUUCACUACAAUGGAUACGGCCAUUUGCUUUGUGUUAAUGGCAUAGAAGGGGGUUCUAAUGUUCUUAGUGGAGAGAUCUCUGGGACAGGAUCUGCACCAAUCUUCGAGCAAGGAUUAUGAAAUGGUAUCUUCUCUUUGAUAUUGGUGAUAUUGGUGAUACAAGGCUCCCAAAUCCUGUUGUCCAUCUGGAUUAUGAAAUGGUACCUUCUCUUUGAUAUAAAAUGGCCACUCCAACCUACCAAUCAUAAACGAAACAAAUCCACUGGUUCUGGGUAGCCUAAUAGUACAUUUUUUGUACAGAUAAAGCACAUCAUUACCAGGAACCCAAGAUGAUUCUAUUUGGGGAUCUACAACAGCCAUUACCCCAGGCUCCAUUUCAGGGGCUUUGAACCCCUUCCCAAGCUCAUGAAUAGUCACUUAAUUUUCGCUGAGUUUUCCUCUUUUCUUCCACUGCUUGCUUAGGAUUUUCAACACUGAAAAAUGAAACUGACUCCUAGAGAGAUCGAGAAACUAGCCUUGCACAAUGCUGGCUUCCUUGCCCAGAAACGCCUUGCUCGUGGUUUGAGACUCAAUUAUACUGAAGCUGUAGCUCUCAUAGCACUGCAGAUUUUGAAAUUUGUUCGUGAUGGUGAAAAGACUGUUGCAGAGUUGAUGUCCAUUGGGAGAGAACUCGUAGGAAGGUGUUAUGUUAAUUUUCAUCAUUUGAUUCCGAUGGCCUAUGAUUUUAAAUUGUUUUGCCUUUCCUUGGAUAAUAGUUUCAUCUCUGUAGUGUAAUCCUAUCGGCUUGUUCAUCUACACUAAUCGAUGAUAACCCCAAGUUUAAGGAUGAUUCACACUACUAAACGAUGAGAGAUCGUGUCUAAUUGUACAUGUUGUAAGGAUUCUUACUGAGUCUCUCGAUUCAGUAAGAAUAAUAGACUAGAGUUACCAUGUGUAAGGCAAAAGAAGUGCCAAAAACAUGGCCAGAGUUUAGCGUAGGUUUAACGUGUUGGCUUCCUCUGAUAUGAACGUGUUAGUGUAUCUAUGCAUUUGGGUGCAUUUAUAAAGUUGCUCCCCAGCCAGUGUUGUAUGUGUUUGGUGAA